CAGGUGAUGCAGUUGGCGUUGCUGCUGUCCGAGAGGAGCUCGAGCAGAAACUGCCACAGCUGGAUCUGUCCGCUGCCUGCGUAGAGAAGAAUUGCGGCAAGUGAAAAAAAAAUCGUGGCUACAGACGUCGUGACGAGGAUAACGUUGCCGCUGACUCAUCAUGGUCACAUGACCGAGAGAGCGAAAGUGGGUCGCACAGCGGACAGCUGUUGUUCGAAAGAGCAUCCCCGUACUCGUGUAAUGUAAAUCAAAAGGACAAGUGUGGUUAGACUACAGCCUUAGGUGUUAUUACGAGGAAGUGUUCACAAGUGGCGUUACCUUGGUGAGGUGCCGGGUGACUGCCCAGGAGUGUUCGUGGGCGAUG